AAACGGCAGACUUCAAGGGACAACACCAGGGUUGUAGAGGAAACAUUUAAUGUGGAGCAGACACACGAGGACUAUUAGUGGAACGGAGAGAUGACUCAAGCAAUCUGGCUAAUGUACAGGACACUUGAGCACAACGGUGACCUCAUUGCAGACUCCCAGCCCAGGGUAAUCUGGGAUGUAUCACAGGUCAUCCCCUGCAGUCAUUACUGCUGGAGAAGGGCUCUCUGCGCAGGGUGCCAAAGUCCAUACUUGGAUGCCAAGAUACAAGGAGCCUGAUUUCCCGAAGUGUUCAGCACUUAGAAGUUCGUCUGGGAUUAAUGGGAGCUGCGGGCGUUCGGCACCUCUGACCGUGUCUUUGUACCUGGAUUUGCGCUCCUGACAUGACACGCGCGCGCAGGACUCAAAUCCCCGGGCUGGUGUCUGGUCCUGCCUGGGCUGCAGGGCAGGGGUAGCACCGAGACCCUGUUUGGAGGAAGGGAAGGGCUGUCGUGGCAGUGAAGCUACUCAGCUGGCUGGAGGGGCAGAGGGCAUGCCUGGCUGGACGGGAAAUUCAAUAAUGCACAGCGGAGGAAAAGAAGUUAACAUCACAUAGGCCUGGUCCAGGCCUGUCUGGCAAGUGCGGCUACAGAGGAGGAGAAAGGGGAUGACGUAUGAGUUGCAACCUGGGCUCGGACCCCAGGGAUGAUGGAACAGCACCAGGGCUGGCCUUGGCCCUUACUUCAGAUGCAGCGGUCCAUGGGUACCACGUGGCCAGCGGGGACGUGUAUCUCUGCCUGCAGCUGGGAUGAACUGGAACUGCUCAGCUGGGCUAACAGACUGCUGCUCCACAAGCUGUGGGAAGCUGGGGCUGGAGUGAGUGUGGUCAGCUGGGGCCCAUGGCUUGGGAUUCCCAAAAGGUGCCGAUGGGCCCUUGCUCAUGGACACAGAGCUCCUCACACCCUGCCCUGGGGCUGGCUAGAAGCUGACCCUUCUCCAGUAAGACGGUAAAAUCUGCAAUCCCAUAGGGCUCCACUUAAUUAAAUGCCUUGCAAGCUUAAUACCGGCCCAGCAAAAGGGACCCCUUAGGGCCAUAUACCUUUGAGGGUAUACAGGGAAUCUGGCUUUCCCCACCAGACCAGGCUCUUCAGGCAGAAACCUAAGUCAGGCAAUGGAAACAAUGUCUGGAAAGGAUUUCCAGGACCUGAAAGUUAAUGCAGCGCAAAGCUGCCCUUGAGUGCUUGGAAGGUUUCCCCCUUUGCCCCUGACGCAUGGCUCCAUGCCACAGCUGCUCCUUUCCAUUGGCUUGACUGCGCAUUGUUCUCCAUCAAGAUUUUUUAUCAUCGUAUAUGGUCACAUUGUGGGAUUAAAAUGAAGCCUUUAUGGCUCUUGGAGGCUCUGGGUGAGCUGCCCCUCUGGGAUGCAUUAAUAUCAGAGGAGCCCAGCUUGUAUCUUAUGAGCAAGCUCUCACCCUCCUAGCAUACUAACCUGGGGUCUCCUUCAUUGACUAUGUCAGAGCAAGCGUCAUUUUGUGGUUGGGCAGGUUGUACGGUUGUGCCCCGACUUCAAGUUACAACUUGGCCGGCAGAAGCCCAAGCUGCUUCUGUGCACAGCACUUCCAGGGUUAGCAUUUCUUUUGCAAACUGCUUGAGGAUUAUGAGUAAAGUAGGACAAGAGGCUUAUUAA